CCUACGGGAGGCUGCAGUGAGGAAUAUUGGUCAAUGGCCGGAAGGCUGAACCAGCCAAGCCGCGUGAAGGACGAAGGUGCCAAGCAUUGUAAACUUCUUUUGUCAAGGGAUAAACUCAGGCUCGAGAGCCUGACCGAGGGUACUUGAAGAAAAAGCAUCGGCUAACUCCGUGCCAGCAGCCGCGGUAAUACGGAGGAUGCGAGCGUUAUCCGGAUUUAUGGGGUUUAAGGGGUGCGUAGGCGGGCUGUUAAGUCAGCGGUAAAAGCCUGGGGCUCAACCGAGACGAGCAGUUGAAACUGGCUUUCUUGAGAUGUGGAGAGGUAUGCGGAAUGCGUAGUGUAGCGGUGAAAUGCUUAGAUAUUGCGCAGAACUCCGAUUGCGAAGGCAGCAUACCGGCCGGGAACUGACGCUGAGGCACGAAAGCGUGGGUAUCGAACAGGAUUAGAUACCCGAGUAGUC
rnacentral:rRNA from 1 species